rnacentral:lncRNA from 1 species
GCUGCUGUCCUUUGUAUAAAGUUACCGGCACGAAUCUUGAGCUCAGACCUACAUCUGCGCAGAAGUGAUUUAUUAGCAAAGAACCAAUCCCGAGUGACGGCUAUGACGCGAUGCACUGCGGGCCAAUCACCGCUUUAGCCCGCCCCCGCGCCUCACUUCAUACCAUAAAAGGGACCCAAUAAAUUACUUCUGCGCAGGUGAAGGUCAGAGCUCAAGAUUCGUGCCGAUAACUAUACUUCUAUGUAAAUUAUUUACAAAUUGUAUAUGUAAAAAGUAUUUAUUUCUGGACACAUUUGAACUAUUACUGAGUAAAUUCAGAUAUAAAAGGGUGUAGUACUCCAUUUGAGUAGGCAAUCGACCAUAGUUAACAAUCUUGAUAUGUUUUUUUACACAAAUACAUAUUAAACAAAUAAACUACUGCUGUAAAUAGUGAUUCAAGCGACAAAUUCGUUUUAUUUAUUCUAUGUAU